AUCGAACGCUGGCGGCAUGCCUAACACAUGCAAGUCGAACGGCAGCGCCGACUUCGGUCUGGCGGCGAGUGGCGAACGGGUGAGUAAUACAUCGGAACGUACCCUGUUGUGGGGGAUAAAUAGCUGAAAGAUUAGCUAAUACUCCAAACGACCUGUGGUUGCCAGUGGGUGACCGCAAGUACUCACGCCGCGGGGGCGGCGGAGGUCCGAUGAGCUAGUUGGAGGGGUAACGGCUCACCAAGGCGGGGAACAUUAGCUGGUCUGAGAGGAAGGCCAGCCAGCUGGGCAGUGAGGCAGGGCAGAGACUCCUGCGGUGAGAAGCAGUCGGGAAUUUUAGGCGAGGGGGGCAAGGCGGAUCCAGCAAUGCGGCGUGUGUGAAGAAGGCCCUCGGGUGGUAAAGCGAUGUUGUCCGGAGGGAAGUCACGCUGGUUAAUACGUGGCGUGAAUGACGGUACCGGAAGAAUAAGCUCCGGCUAACUACGUG
rnacentral:rRNA from 1 species